rnacentral:piRNA from 1 species
UACUGUAUUUGUACACAUGAAAGCAUUUU